GAUGAACGCUGGCGGCGUGCCUAACACAUGCAAGUCGAACGGAGCUGCUUUGAUGAAGUUUUCGGAUGGAUUUAAAACAGCUUAGUGGCGGACGGGUGAGUAACGCGUGGGUAACCUGCCUCACACUGGGGGAUAACAGUUGGAAACGACUGCUAAUACCGCAUAAGCCCACGGGUCGGCAUCGACCAGAGGGAAAAGGAGUAAUCCGCUUUGAGAUGGCCUCGCGUCCGAUUAGCUAGUUGGUGAGGUAAUGGCCCACCAAGGCGACGAUCGGUAGCCGGACUGAGAGGUUGAACGGCCACAUUGGGACUGAGACACGGCCCAGACUCCUACGGGAGGCAGCAGUGGGGAAUAUUGCACAAUGGGGGAAACCCGUACGAUAGCAGCGACGCCGCGUGGAGGAAGAAGUCUCGAUGUAAACUACUCGUUGUUGUAGG
rnacentral:rRNA from 1 species